AUCACUUCUCGACAUUUUGGCUAAGAUCAAGCAUAGUAUUUGUUCUUAUUAGUUUAAACCACUGAUAUCUAGAAUAAAGGACUCUAAAAACUCAAC
ensembl:snRNA U2 U2 spliceosomal RNA